UGUGUCGACGGACAGACACACCUGUCACGGACGAUGGGGAAGGAAGGACAUCGCAGGACGCGAUUCAUCAGGACGAUGAAAAGGAUCAAAGGGAUUAGGGAAAAAAUGUGGGCGGGUCAAACCGCCCCUUUUUUU
rnacentral:sRNA from 2 species